rnacentral:rRNA from 1 species
AUUGAACGCUAGCGGGAUGCCUUACACAUGCAAGUCGAACGGAGUGUCGAACGGGGGAGGGAGGUAUCGGAACGUGCCCAGUAGUGAGGGACAACUACGCGGGAGCGUAGCUUAUACCGCAGACUAUUGGAGCGGCCGAUAGCGGAUUAGCUGGUUGGUGGGGUAACGGCUUACCCAGGUGACGAGCCGUAGCUGGUCUGAGCGGACGACCAGCCACACUGGGACUGAGACACGGCCCAGACUCCUACGGGAGGCAGCAGUAGGGAAUUUUGGACAAUGGGGGAAACCCUGAUCCAGCCAUCCCGCGUGAGCGAUGAAGGCUUUCGGGUUGUAAAGCACUUUUGUCAGGGAAGCGGUACCUACAGAAUAAGCACCGGCUAACUACGUGCCAGCAGCCGCGGUAAUUC